rnacentral:rRNA from 1 species
AUUGAACGCUGGCGGCAGGCCUAACACAUGCAAGUCGAGCGGUAGAGAGGUGCUUGCAUCUCUUGAGAGCGGCGGACGGGUGAGUAAUGCCUAGGAAUCUGCCUAGUGGUGGGGGAUAACGUUCGGAAACGGACGCUAAUACCGCAUACGUCCUACGGGAGAAAGCGGGGGAUCUUCGGACCUCGCGCCAUUAGAUGAGCCUAGGUCGGAUUAGCUAGUUGGUGAGGUAAUGGCUCACCAAGGCGACGAUCCGUAACUGGUCUGAGAGGAUGAUCAGUCACACUGGAACUGAGACACGGUCCAGACUCCUACGGGAGGCAGCAGUGGGGAAUAUUGGACAAUGGGCGAAGCCUGAUCCAGCCAUGCCGCGUGUGUGAAGAAGGUCUUCGGAUUGUAAGCACUUUAAGUUGGGAGGAAGGGUAGUAACCUAAUACGUUGCUACUUUGACGUUA